GGGGCUGUAGCUCAGUGGUGGAGUACCUGCUUCACAUUCAGAAGGUCACAGGUUCAAUCCCUGGCAUCCCUG